rnacentral:rRNA from 1 species
AACGAACGCUGGCGGCAUGCCUAACACAUGCAAGUCGAACGAGACCUUCGGGUCUAGUUGCGCACGGGUGCUUAACGCGUGGGAACCUGCCCUUAGGUUCGGAAUAACUCCCCGAAAGGGGUGCUAAUACCGGUUAAUGUCUUCGGACCAAAGAUUUAUCGCCUUUGGAUGGGCCCGCGUUGGAUUAGCUAGUUGGUAGUGUAAAAGCCUACCAAGGCGACGAUCCAUAGCUGGUCUGAGAGGAUGAUCAGCCACACUGGGACUGAGACACGGCCCAGACUCCUACGGGAGGGAGCAGUGGGGAAUAUUGGACAAUGGGCGAAAGCCUGAUCCAGCAAUGCCGCGUGAGUGAUGAAGGCCUUAGGGUUGUAAAGCUCUUUUACCCGGGAUGAUAAUGACAGUACCGGGAGAAUAAGCUCCGGCUAACUCCGUG